rnacentral:lncRNA from 1 species
UGGGACAGCCCUCCCCCUCCCCCUGGGACUCCAUGGCCUGUGCUGUCCUCCUGCCCAAGAAGCUUCCCUCUGAGGCAUCUCGGGUCCGGGUCCGUCCUGCUCACCCAGGGCCAGGAGCCCCCAGGAGGCCCACGGUGCACCCCCAGCCCAGGCGACAUCAACGGCCAGCCCCAUACGCGUGAGGAUUGCGGCACCAGGGGCGCUCAGGAUUGGGCCGGGCUGCUUCUCAGAAGAGGGGACAUUGAGCCCAAGCAGGCUGCACUCCUGCUUGGACGGAAGGUGCAUGGGUGGGGAGGGUAAUCACACCAAUAGAGACAUGGAUGGACUUGUGCAGAACAUAAAUACUCUCUUUGCUUAUGUCUAUGUUACUCAAAGGAACCAUGGAAAUAACAAAUUCCCAAUUACAAUGCAGUAAACUUUAAGAGGA